rnacentral:lncRNA from 1 species
GAAUUUUCCUCUGGAUGCAAUGAAAUUCUCAGACUUUCCUAAUCUACAACAGGAAUGACUGCAAGAAUCAGGACUAUCUAGACUGAAGAAGAGAAGAUUCAGGACAGACAUAAGCUUUGUCUUUCAACCUCAGAAGAAUUGCCAUGGGAAUAAAGAACUCAGGAAAAGACAAACAGAAAGCUAUAGGAGAAGCAUUGCUGUUCAAUAUGGGAAGCUCUUCCAGCUAUUGAGGCUGUGGGACAGUCAUCCAGGGAGUCUCCACAGGCCGACACUGAAUGUGAAAAUUGCCUGUCAAGGAUGCAGAGAUAAGCAUUUUUCAUUGAAAGAAAUAAUGUACACUUUUAACCCCCAAAUUCUCAACUCUUAAAAAAAUCCCAGAGAGCUAUGAUUUCUACAGAUUCCUGUGAUGUCUUCAGUAGGGAAAAAAAAAAAAAAAGAAGAAACAUACUGGUAGACAAAAUAAAUAUUCAACCAGUCAAAUGCAGCAUUGGCACUGAAUAUGGCUGCACAAAAUGGAUCAUUUUGUGAUUUCCCCCAUUCUGGUUUCUGUCACCUUCUCAAACAAUGUUUUCUAACCCUAGAUUCUGGCAACAACUAAAAUUAAAUCAUUACAGAAAGAGAGCUCUAUAUGUUUAGUUAAUAAUCUCUUUCAAGAAAAAACUCACAAAUUUCCACAGAUGCCUUUGGCAACACAAUUUGGAAUUAUGUACCCUUUACAGUAAUGUUCUUACUUAAUGUGUAGCUGGAUUUCACCAAACUCACUCUUUGUCCUAGGAUUGCGUGUCUGCUGUGUGCUGAAAUUAGUAGUAGA